rfam:Felis catus isolate Cinnamon breed Abyssinian chromosome A3, whole genome shotgun sequence.
GCCUGGGUGGCUCAGUCGGUGGAGCAUCCGACUCCAGCUCCGGUCAUAAUCUCAUAGUUUGUGAGUUCGAGCCCCGCAUCGGGCU